AUUGAACGCUGGCGGCAGGCCUAACACAUGCAAGUCGGACGGUAGCACAGAGGAGCUUGCUCCUUGGGUGACGAGUGGUGGACGGGUGAGUAAUGUCUGGGGAUCUGCCCGAUAGAGGGGGAUAACCACUGGAAACGGUGGCUAAUACCGCAUAACGUCGCAAGACCAAAGAGGGGGACCUUCGGGCCUCUCACUAUCGGAUGAACCCAGAUGGGAUUAGCUAGUAGGCGGGGUAAUGGCCCACCUAGGCGACGAUCCCUAGCUGGUCUGAGAGGAUGACCAGCCACACUGGAACUGAGACACGGUCCAGACUCCUACGGGAGGCAGCAGUGGGGAAUAUUGCACAAUGGGCGCAAGCCUGAUGCAGCCAUGCCGCGUGUAUGAAGAAGGCCUUCGGGUUGUAAAGUACCUUCAGCGGGGAGGAAGGCGGUGAGGUUAAUAACCUCACCGAUUGACGUUACCCGCAGAAGAAGCACCGGCUAACUCCGUGCCAGCAGCCGCCGUAA
rnacentral:rRNA from 1 species